CUAGCAAAGUAUAACAAGGCAAUCUAUAGCAAUCAACUGUCUUUGGGUAUGCGAUUCCGGAUGAUGUUUGAAACCGAAGAAUCUGGAACAAGAAGGUAAAUAAUCAAAAUAUUAAGAAAUUUUGGAAGGUUAUUUACAUAUCUGUUUUUUUCUUGCUUUGUAAAGGUAUAUGGGAACUGUAACUGGUAUAAGUGAUUUAGAUCCUGUAAGGUGGAAAAAUUCCCAAUGGUGCAAUCUUCAGGUAUCUUUAUGAUUUUUUUAAUACUAAAAUGUAGUAAGAAUGUAGGACUAUUGUAUUGUAAUUAACCUGGUUUCUAAAUUAGGUUGGAUGGGAUGAGACAUCGGUAGGUGAAAGACGCAAUCGGGUCUCUUUAUGGGAAAUUGAACCAGUUUCUGCUCCUUUUUUCAUCUGCCCACCCCCUAUUUUUAGAUCUAAACGGCCCAGACAGCCGGGAAUGCCAGGUACUUGCAUGGUAAAUGGGUAACUCUAAAAAAUGUCAAAUUCUCUAAUAAUUUUUAAUUCUCGUUUUCCUAUUUUUCACAUGGUAUCAAAAUAAAUUAAUAUAUUAAUGUUCUUACUGAUUGCAUUGAUAUAUAAAAAUGUUGAAUGAUAUCUAGUUUCACAGAUACUAAUAACAAUAUUCAAUUUUAUAGAUGAUGAGCCGUCAGAUAUGGACAACUUAUUCAAAAGAGCAAUGCCAUGGUUAGGUGAUGAGAUAUGUAUAAAAGAUUCCCAAUUUCAGAAUGCAGGUGGAAUGCCGGGAUUAAGCUUAGUGCAAUGGAUGAACAUGCAACAAAAUGCACAAAAUCCUCCCGUUGUCAUCAAAAACACCCAACCAGAUUAUUUUUGCCCCACUUCAGUCACUAGGGGACCAGAUCUGCAAAAUCAGAUUUUGCAGCAAAACCAAUUCAAUGGCGAUAGUAAUAAUAAACCGCCGCAACCACCAUCGCAACAACGACAACAAGAUGUACUACAACUCAAUCAAAAUCUUCAAGCCUCCACCUUGAAUCAACAAAUUAACCAAACUCAGAACAAUCACCACCUUCAGUCACCAUCUCUUGUUCAUCAUAACUUUCAGUCUUCUCAAUCCACUGCCUUGCAGAAUCAGAAAUUGCAAGCUCCACUUCAACAGCAGCAAUACAUAUUGCAGCAGAAGCAGCAACAACAACAAAAAUGUCAGAUUCCAACUCAGAUACCACCACAAGUCAAUCAGCAAUUUGAUCUACCUGAGCAACAUAUUCACUUCCAAAUACUUCAGAAAAUUCAGCAGCAACAGAAGCAACAACAAUCACUGAUUAUUCAAACACCUCCUCAGCACAGAGUUCAUGAGAAUCAACAUAAAACCAUUCUGGAGAAUCCAGAAGUAUCUCAACAUCAUAAAAUCAUCACGCAACAACAGUCUUCGGCUACUAAUGUUUACAACGUGGUGGGAUCAUCGCAUAUUUCUCAAUCCACACAGCAUCCAAUUCUGAAAAGCCCUCAAUUACAGAGGAACAUGACCGAGGAAUUAACCGGCAAUUUAAUCAUGCCACCAACAUCAGGAGGUGAACAGUUGACCACAUUUGUUAAUGACGUCCUUCAACCUGAAACAAAUAAUGGAUCGAGCAAUUCUACAACAUUCAUGCACAAUACUGAUAGAGUAAAGAGCGUCGCCAGUAUGCAAAUUUUAAGCCCUGGCAAUUUGAAAGCCAACACAACCGUUGAUGAAGUGGAAAAAUCAGAGAAGCAUAGUAAAUCAUCGUCGAUGUUCAUUCCAAGUGAAGAACAAAUUCCAGGGACGUUUGGUACACAAAUAGAUCAUUUGGAAUCUUCCAAUUCCGGAACUUCGGUCUGCCUUUCUCAAACAGAUGUACAAAUGCAACACCAGACUUGCAUACCGAUGUCGCCUUUCAAUCACUCUUUCUUGUUUAGGGACACCACCGGUUUGGAUGAAAUACAGACUGGUGAUCUAAGAAAUAAUGUCCUUUUUGGGGUCAACAUCGAUGACAGUCCAUUAUGUGCACCAGACACAACUGACAAUUUUCUAAUCAAAGGCAUUGAUUCAGACAAAGAUUUUCAAAACAAUAUUAGUAUCGACAACUUGCUAGCAGAAGCAAAUUACAACACCACAAAAGAAGCACAGCAAGAGAUAUCAUCAUCAAUUGUCUCUCAAUCUUUAGGAGUUCCAGAUGCUGCUGCUUUCAAUUCAAUUGAUUCAUCCCUGAAUGACAACUGUUUUUUGAAUAAAUGGUCAUCUGCCCCAAAGAUUCAGAGGUUGCGAACAUACACAAAGGUUUGCGACUGUGUUUUUAACUAGUGUUGCUACCAAGUUUUCUUGUUUUUAAAUUCAAGAUGUGUUUUUAGGUAUAUAAGCGGGGAGCUGUUGGGAGGUCGAUAGAUAUAUCUCGAUACUCUGGCUACAAUGAGCUGAAACAAGAUCUCAGUCGGAUGUUCAGCAUCGAAGGACAGAUUGAAGACAAACAAAGGAUUGGGUGGAAGUUGGUAUACGUCGAUCAUGAGAACGAUGUUUUGUUGGUUGGAGAUGAUCCUUGGGAGUAAGAUAACUUCACAAAAAACUGAGGUUCUUGUCUUUCAAGAGUUAAACUAAAAUAGUUUUUUUGCCAUUCUUGUUGCAUUGCAGAGAAUUUGUGAUCUGUGUUCGGUGCAUCAGAAUACUCUCACCGCAAGAGGUCGAGCAAAUGAGCCUGGAUGGUGAUCUUGGGGGAAAUGCAUGUGUUUCAAAUCAAGCAUGUAGCAGUUCAGGUGGUGGGAAUGCUUGGCGCGACCAACAACAGUUUGACCAGAAUUCUGGGAACCUCCCCUAUGCUGGAUUUUACGAUCAGUUAUAACACUCAUCAAAAGGGUUCAUUCAGUGGCGCCGCGCGCCACUACUGAGAACGGAUGUAAAUUUAUACGUUCCACUUACUCCAUGGCUUCAAAAAGUGCAAACUUUUGCCAUUACCUUGAGAAUGAAUCUUAGUUUCCUUCUAAUGUUGUUUCUUUUUAAGGCGUCGAAAAUGGCGGAUUUCUUAGUUAACUUAGACACUUAGUUAGUCAUGUCUAAAUGAUAUGUUUCUUAUCCUUGUGACUUUGUUCAACUAAUUGUAAUUGCUCUUUUAGGUUCAAUUCUUACGUACCCAAAUACUUAGGUAUUCAGAUCCGUUAGUCAAGGGAUCUAAUACCGUCGACAUCCCUUGUUUCACAAAUUGCAGCGGUUAAGCCAAAAUAAUUUCAUCUUGAGAAUAAAUCUAAAAGCAUCGAAAUCAAAAUUAAAAAAAUAAGAGAAGGUAUACAUACUACCAGCCUACAUCAGAAUUUCAUCCUUGUGUGUUGCUGCUAUCGUCCCAGCGGCAUCAGAAUUUCUCCGAUUAUCACCUCGUCGAGACUCGAGAGUAAUUCCCAAUACUUCUGCUACACUGCUGUUUAUAUGGCCUUUAUGAUCUGGACGAUAACAGAUAUGGACGAGCUGGCUGGUGCCGAGUGCCGACGACGGAUCAGAAUUCACGAUGCUCGAGUGGAUAAAUGGAUUGUGACUUUUAUUUUGUGACAGACUUUUG
rnacentral:lncRNA from 1 species